GAAAAUGGUAACAUGCACUGUGCUAACGUGGAAUAAAUCAGUGAACUAAAAAACCAGAGUCCACAAAUUAUUUCAUAGAGUUAGCGAAGUAGCAGAUAUGUCAAGUGACAGGGGUGUUCUAAGUUUCUGUAAGAGUUUCCAUCUAGACAUGCUGGACCCUUCAUAUCCUUAUACCGCAAGAACUUAUCAAGCCAUAUAUGGGGGCACAGAUUCAGCUUAAAGCAGAGGAUGAGGUUCUAUGUUUUUCUCGACUCCACAGAAUACACUCUGGUUGACUCUUUAACUACAAGCAUUUCAGUCUUGAUAAAUGUUUUGGAUGGCUGUAGUGAUGCUUUUA
rnacentral:misc_RNA from 1 species